rfam:Brachypodium distachyon strain Bd21 chromosome 4, whole genome shotgun sequence.
UUAAUACUUCUUCCGUCCAACAAAUAAUGUCUCAAGUUUGUCAAAAUUUAAAUGUAUCUAAACAUGACUUAGUGUAUAUAUGCAUUCAAAUUUAGUCAAAGUUAAGAGACAUCCUUUAUUGAACGGAGGAAGUAUGAG